rnacentral:rRNA from 1 species
GACGAACGCUGGCGGCGUGCUUAACACAUGCAAGUCGAACGGAAAGGCCCUGCUUUUGUGGGGUUCUCGAUAGGCGAACGGGUGAGUAACACGUGAGUAUCCUGCCCUUGUCUUUCGGAUAACUUCAGGAAACUGGGGCUAAUACCGGAUAUGAGCUCCUGCUGCAUGGUGUGGGUUGGAAAGUUUCGGCGGUUGGGGAUGGACUCGCGGCUUAUCAGCUUGUUGGUGGGGUAGUGGCUUACCAAGGCUUUGACGGGUAGCCGGCCUGAGAGGGUGACCGGCCACAUGGGGACUGAGAGACGGCCCAGACUGCUACGGGAGGCAGCAGGGGGGAAUAUUGCACAAUGGGCGGAAGCGUGAGGCAGCAACGCCGCGUGCGGGAUGACGGCCUUCGGGGUGUAAACAGAUUUCGCCGGUGACGAAGCGUGAGUGACGGUAAUGGGUAAAGAAGCACCGGCUAACUACGUG